rnacentral:rRNA from 1 species
UACGAACCGUGCGAACGUUGUUCGGAUUCACUGGGCUUAAAGGGCGCGUAGGCGGGCCAGCAUGUCCGGGGUGAAAUCUUUCGGCUUAACCGGAAAAGGGCUUCGGAAACGGCUGGUCUUGAGGGAGGUAGGGGCAGGUGGAACUUCCGGUGGAGCGGUGAAAUGCGUUGAGAUCGGAAGGAACGCCGGUGGCGAAAGCGACCUGCUGGACCUCUUCUGACGCUGAGGCGCGAAAGCCAGGGGAGCAAACGGG